GACGAACGCUGGCGGCGUGCCUAAUACAUGCAAGUCGAACGCAGAGGGGACGGUUGAGUAACACGUUGGUAACCUCCCAUCAGAGGGGAUAACACUUAGCAACAGGUGCUAAACCGAUACUGAUGGAUGGACCCGCGGUGCAUUAGCUAGGUGGUGGGGUAACGGCUCACCAGGGCCACGAUGCAGAGCCGACCUGAGAGGGGGAUCGGCCACACUGGGACUGAGACACGGCCCAGACUCCUACGGGAGGCAGCAGUAGGGAAUCUUCGGCAAUGGACGAAAGUCUGACCGAGCAACGCCGCGUGAGUGAAGAAGGUUUUCGGAUCGUAAAACUCUGUUGUUAGAGAAGCGGUAUCUAACCAGAAAGCCACGGCUAACUACGUGCCAGCAGCCGCGGUAAUUC
rnacentral:rRNA from 1 species